rnacentral:rRNA from 1 species
AGAGUUUGAUCCUGGCUCAGGAUGAACGCUAGCGAUAGGCUUAACACAUGCAAGUCGAGGGGCAGCACAUGAGUGGUAACGCGAUGGUGGCGACCGGCGCACGGGUGAGUAACACGUAUGCGACCUACCUAUAACUGGGGAAUAACCCGUCGAAAGGCGGACUAAUACCGCAUAACAAUGCAAAGCUGCAUGGCUUUGCAUUUAAAGAUUUAUCGGUUAUAGAUGGGCAUGCGUUCCAUUAGAUAGUUGGUAGGGUAACGGCCUACCAAGUCUGCGAUGGAUAGGGGUUCUGAGAGGAAGGUCCCCCACACUGGUACUGAGACACGGACCAGACUCCUACGGGAGGCAGCAGUGAGGAAUAUUGGUCAAUGGGCGCAAGCCUGAACCAGCCAUCCCGCGUGCAGGAUGACGGCCCUAUGGGUUGUAAACUGCUUUUAUACACCAAGAAAAACUUUCACGUGUGGGAGCUUGACGGUAGUGUAUGAAUAAGCAUCGGCUAACUCCGUGCCAGCAGCCGCGGUAA